rnacentral:rRNA from 1 species
UACGGUGAAUACGUUCCCGGACCUUGCACACACCGCCCGUCAAGCCAUGGAAGCCGGUGUACCUAAAGUCGGUAACCGUAAGGAGCCGCCUAGGGUAAACUGGUGACUGGGGCU